CAAACACAUACAUGUAUAGAUGGACUGAUUCAUCAGGCGAUAUGGGUUUUGCAGUGAAGAUAUCAUGGCGGCUUGUGUGCUUUGUUGCAUUCAUCCUACUUUUUGCGUGGAGCAUCAAAGGUACGUACAUUAAUUAAAAAUAUUAAAAUUAAAUUCAUUCCUUCCCAUAAUUAUUGGAAAGUAAUUAACUAUUACUUUUCCCUAUUGUUUGUGUGUGUGUGUGUAUAUAUAUAUACAUAUAUGCACAUGGUAUAAUCAUAAUAUGUUGGUAUAAUUGAAUCAAAAUCCAAGUCAUGUUGAAUUUUGAUCGUGGUUUAUAAAUUUUUCCCGUAUUAUUAAUAAUAAGAUUCUAAGUUUUACUUUCUUAUAUAUAUAUAUAUAUAUGUAUAUUGUAGGUGAUGAGAUGGCUUUGAUCGUGGUUUAUAAAUUUUUCCCGUAUUAUUAAUAAUAAGAUUCUAAGUUUUACCUUCUUAUAUAUAUAUAUAUAUGUAUAUUGUAGGUGAUGAGAUGGCUUUGGUGCAUGGAGAAAUCGAUGCAGCGUCAAGAUCAGUGAAACAGCCAAGGAAGCUGAUCAUCCUGCUAAAAAAAUCUGAAGGCAGACCUUCUAGCCCAGCACCACUAAAAACAUCUGCAGGCAGACCUUCUAGCCCACCACCACCAAAACGUCCCCCAAAGCCACCAAGGUCAGGAAGGCCAUAACAUUUAUAAAGUUAACAAGUAACUUGUGUAUUGAUGGACAAGUGUUACUUUAUAUUAAUAAAACCUAAUUAUUGAGUUAAGAUUCUUAAUUUCAUUUCUCAACUUGUUCUACUAUUAGUAAACUAGACAUAUAUGUGUGUGUGUGUGCGCGCGCCUGUGUGUCAUGCUAUUGUUGCUUUUGAGUUACGUUCAACUUCUACUUAUUCACCAUGAAAAUAAGUUAUAUUUCAAUUAAGAAAAGGAGA
rnacentral:lncRNA from 1 species